ACGCUCGACACCUGAGGCAGCAGUGGGGAAUAUUGCACAAUGGGGGAAACCCUGAUGCAGCAACGCCGCGUGAAGGAAGACGGUUUUCGGAUUGUAAACUUCUGUUCUUAGUGAAGAUAGUGACGGUAGCUAAGGAGCAAGCCACGGCUAACUACGUGCAGCAGCCGCGGUAAUCUGAGCGGGCUGGCAAGGC
rnacentral:rRNA from 1 species